CACCACAGUGCUGAUCUUCUUCUUCCCAUCGGUAGCUCUUAACAGACACUUGUUGUCUGCGGGCUCAAAGCCCUCCACAGUACCCUUCUUUGGAAUGGGUUUGGUUCGACCGUCAUCUGAAGGAAAAAAUGCAUCCUGGUGAACACGGCCGCGUACGUGGCUGAGCGGCAGACAAACAGUUAAAACAGAGGAGUGGGGUCCAACUUGGCAUUUCUUGGCUGUAUCUCUGAAGGAAAGUCAUCUUAAUCUCUAUGAGCCUCCAUUUCCUCAGCUGUAAAAUGGGAAGAUCUUCCUCACACUGCUGUGGAUCUUGUUCUGUCGCCUAGGCUGGAGUGCAGUGACGUGACACAAUCACAGCUCACUGCAGCCUCGACCUCCCAGGCUCAAGUGAUCCUCCUACCUCAGCCUCCUAAGUAACUGGGACUAUAGGUGCAUGCACCACCAUACCCAGCUAAUUUUUAAGGUGUUUUUUUUUUUUUUGUAGAGACAGGGGUCUCACUAUAUUGUCCAAGCUAGCCUCAAACUCCUAGGCUUGAGUGAUCCUCCUGCCUUGGCCUCUCAAAGUGCUAGGAUUAUAAGCGUGAGCCACUAUGCCCAGCCUUGUUAUUUUUUAAAAAAGGAUUUUAAAAAAUUAUAAAAAGGAUAAUAGGAAGCUGUUAGAGGGUGAUUUAAUCAGCAGUAACAUUCUCACUCAGGCUGUUGUGGGAGAACAAACUGUAGGGAGGGGAGAGUGGGGGCAGGAGAUGGUUGGGAAGCUAGUGCAGUCGGCCAGGCAAGGAGCAAUAGUGACUUGGCCUGGGUGGGUCACUUUGUGAUGAGGAUUAAUGAAAAGGCCAGACUGGGGUAUUUUUUGAAGCUAGAGUUUGAUAAUUGGUUGUGAGGGGUGGGAGAGAGAGAUGAAUCCUGGCCAUUUAACUGCAGUGAAAAGACUGGAGGAAUAGUUGGACAAGCGGAGGGACGGGGCAUACGAGUUCUGUUUUGAACAUGACAGGCCUCCGAGGUGUCCACUAGGCAGACGGGAUGUCAGGGCAGGGUUACCACCAUGUAGAUGGUCACUGCUAAGAGCUGGGCACUCCUCCAAACACAUACAUUAAAUCAUUUAGUCUUCUCAGUAACCUAUGAGGCGAGAGCUGUAGCUAUCCCUGUCCAUAGGGGGCGUAUCCUGUGUGCCAUUUCAGAUGCCCGCGGCCUCACCUCUUGUUCCAGCCAUUGCCCCAGUGACCAGUUUUGCACAGGUCUUGACCAGUGCCGUGUAAAUGUCGCCUGGCAGGGCCUCUCCACAUGCCUCUCGCCCAACACCAUGAUGGGGGGACACCCAUGGAACCUGCUUGGCAUUAACACAUGAGCCGCCCAGAAGUGAAGGGGAGCUAACAUUCCAUGGGAUGACUCGAGAGGAGCCAAUGGAUAACUGUCCCCCUUCUUCCAGUGAGUUCUGAAAGGAAGCGGAUUUUCUGACGCAUAUGAAGAGUGAGAACUGUCUACAUCUAAGUCUUCUUUGAGAACAAUACCAGCUGAGCGGCUAUUUACAUUCCAGCUUCUUUUGAGAAUCUCUGAAGAUGAUUAAGUCAUUGUCAGCUGGCCCAGAACCAUAUCCUGCUCCACAAGCCUCGUCCUUGGCAAGAAGUUGCACCUGCCCAGAGAGAAAACCUUUUGAAACUGGCACAAAGGCACUGGAGAGACUGGCAGGGCCCCCUACUUGACGAUCUGGCUCAUCCAUCUGCACACUGACCACGCUAAGAGCUGUCUGCAGUGAUGGAAACCUUCUCUAGCUGUGCUGUCCUCUAUAGUGGCACCAGCUGCCUGUGGCUACUGAGCACUUCAACUGUGGCUGCAGAGACUAUGUUAAAUUGUAUUUAAUCAUAAUUAAUUUAAUUGUAAACAACUACAUGUGGCUAGUGGUUUCUGUACUGGGCACUGCAGGUGCACAUUUCCUGCUGGCCAUGGACAGUAAGCUCCAUAAGAGACUAAUUGUGCCUGGUUUGCUUAUAGGCUUAUCCUCAGCACCUGCACCAGCCUAGAAUAUGAUUGGCACUCUAUUAAUUAAAAGUUCCCAGGUAAAUGAAUUAGUGGAUUCUCUGUUUCCUCCACUAUGCCACAACCUCCUUAAGGGCAGAGAUGGUGUCUUCAAAAAAAAAAAAUUCUGGUCAAAAACACAUAAGAUCUACCACCUUCACCAUUGUUGUGUCCAGUUCAGUAGUAUUAACUACACUUACAUUGUGAUACAACAAAAGAUUGUGUCUUUUUACAUUCUUAGGACCCAGCACAGUGUCUGGCACAUAAUCUUAGUAAACACUGGCAGAGCACAUGCCUUUGCCAAGGCCAGAACAGAGGUUCAGUGCCAUCCAUUACCACCCUUUCACACAUCCACUGGGGCUUUAAAAACAACCUGGAAUGAAAGCUGUUGAGUCUAGAGAAAUGGGCUACAAAGAAGGUUUACAAGAUAAUCUAUUAAGAAUAGGGAAUACAGGCCGGGCACGGUGGCUCACACCUGUAAUCCCAGCACUUUGGGAGGCUGAGGUGGGUGGAUCAUUUGAGGUCAGGAGUUCGAGACCAGCCUGGCCAAUGUGGUGAAAUCCUGUCUCUACCAAAAAUUAUCCAGGCAUGGUGGUGCGUGCCUGUAGUCCCAGCUACUUGGGAGGCUGAGGCAUGAGCAUCGCUUGAACCCGGGAGGCAGAGGUUGCAGUGAGCCGAGAUCGCGCCACUACACCCCAGCCUGGGUGACAGAGCAAGACUCCGUCUCAAAAAAAUAAAAAAACCUAAAAUAAAGCUUAAUACACAUGACAUAUGGAUUGGCAGUCACACAUAAAUAUGAUUGAUAAGGAUACAAAUAUUUGGAGGUGCUGCCUGACCAUCUGUUGCUGAUUAUGUGGAGAUCACUUGUCUAGGACCCUGAGAUAGACUGAUGUUUCUAACUCUGCCACACACGGUCUCUCCCACCCUCCAGACACUUUCUUCCUUCAGUUCAGGGAACCCUCAAUACACAGUAAGAAUGAAGAGGUUGCAGGUCUGAGCUUGAGGAGGACUGGACUAAAAGGAGUUUAGCCCUGCCAGGGCAUUCCGAGGACUGUGAAGAUCCGGAAUAUUGGCCACAGGCAUCUAUGUAUUUGAAUCAUAUCCAUUUUUGAGCUCACUCCUAGCAGAGGAGUCAAAACUUACGUUCUGGCCCCCAGGUACAUUUCCAGUCUCUUACUCAUAAAAUUGUGACAUACCCCCAGGGGUGCCCAAAGGGGUUUGUGAAUCAAGAUAGUUUGAGGAGAAUCGAUUUUCUGAUCCUCAGUUUUUCUAUGCUCUUUUUCCUAAAAGCGAUAUUCCUAAAAAGGCAUCCAAGACAAGGCAUCCCCUUUCCCAUUUGCUGGGGAAGACAGCUUUACAAGAGAAAGCUGCCCCUCUCACCCAUGUGACCCCCCACUCUGGGGCACUGCCCUAGGGGUAGAAAUCUCCAAGGCAUCAAACAAAGUGACUCCUGGGGGUCAAGUGACAGAGGAGCAAGUCUUUCUGCAAGUCAAGUGGUUUCCAGCUCUGCUUUCAGCAAAAUUGAAAGAGGCACUAAUCAAAUUGCCAGCGGAUCAUAAAAAAACAUUUUGAUAAUAAUGUUAUUAGGCAUAUAACUUGGAAGAAGUUCAAAGAAUUGAAUGGCAUCCUCAUAACAAACUCAUCGGCUUCCAUUUAUUUAUUUAUGUGGACAGUGUUUCUCAAUGUUUAAACCUACAAAAGACUAAACAUGGGAGUAAACUUCAUGUUGAACCUUGUGUGAGUCUAGCAAUAAGUCAUCCACAUAUACAUACACUAAUUGGGAAGAAAACCUGUCCCAACCCCAACUAUUUUAUUAAGAGAUGCAUUUCCAAUAAAAAUUUACCUUUUAUGUUUAAUAGUUGUUUAUCAAAUUUCGUAAUUAUUUACAUUGCUCUGAUCAAUUGGAUAUAAACUAUUCUAACACUAAACUCAUAACCAAAAAAUUAAUGCUCAGCUUUGGGAACAGAGGAAUUUUUUUUUUUUUUUUUUUUUUUGAGAAGGAGUCUUGCUCUGUUACCCAGGCUGGAGUGCAGAGGCGCAAUUUCAGCUCUCUGCAACCUCCACCUCCCGGG
rnacentral:lncRNA from 1 species